GUCUCGCCUGAUUUAGUUCAAAGCGAUCAAGCAAACCAAUCCAUGAUGAUUGGUCUAAACGCAACCGUGCCGGUUCAAAAGUUUGUCGACCGUGAUCAUUACGACUUGAGUCAGCUGUAUCCUGGCGUAACUGCCGCUUAUAAAAUUAACGGGAAGCUUGCCUCCAUGCCAUUCAACUCUUCAAGUUCGGUGAUGUACUACAACGAAAGCUUGUUUAAGAAAUACGGCGUUGCAGAUUUACCGUUGUCACCAACAUACAGUGACGUUACUAAGGCAGCCGUCGCUUUGACCAAAAAGAGUAAAGGUGCCGUCAAAGGCAUGACGAUGCAAAUUUACGGCUGGCUGCCAGAAGAAAUGGUGGCUAAUCAGAACUCAUUGGUUGUUAAUCAUGACAACGGCCGCAAAGCCAUGGCCACUGCAGCAACCCUCAAUUCGCCUGAAAUGCAAAAGAGCAUGACCUGGUUGCAAGACGUUAUUAAGCAAAAUGCGUUUGAAAACUUUGGCACUGGUUCUGCCGCUGCGAACAACCAAAGUGCAGCAUUUUUAGCGCAAAAGGUCGGCAUUUUCAUGCAAAGCUCAGCAAUGUUAGGUCAGCUGCAAAAGAAUGCGAAGUUCAAGUAUGGUGUAACUUUCACACCACAUCCAGAUGGCACCAAGGCAAACGGCGUGGCCAUUGGUGGUGCUAGCUUGUGGAUCACUAAAAAUAAGCCUGCCGCUGUUCAAGAAGGCGCUUGGCAAUUCAUGAAAUUUCUAAUGACACCGCAGUCUCAAGCAACUUGGCAACUCGGCACUGGCUAUUUCGCAGUCAAUCAAAAAGCUAACCAAAUCCAAACCUUGGCUGCCGCGAUCAAAAAGAAUCCAGCUUUGGCCGUGCCAAUCAAACAACUUAACCAAGGAAAUAUCAAUGCCGCAACGGCCGGCGCCUUCUUCAGCAACAUCCAAGAGGAACGCCAAAACGUUGAACUCGCUAUGCAACAAAUCUACAGCGGUGCCGAUGUUAAAAAAGCGCUGAACGAAGCCGAAACUGACACGAAUACAGCGAUUCAGAAGACAAAUGAAGUUAGUGGAAACCUCCUGAAUUAUAAGCGGUAGCGUGUGAGUCACCGCGGUUUCUGCGACUACUAACAUGUUUUGGCGGCCCAGAUGCAACCAACUACUUAAACCAUUUCAUUGCCGUUUCAACCUCACCCGCGUAUGAUCAAGACAGUUUAAAGAACGGUGGUUAGCUCGUCUUUUCAGACUAAGGGAGGCACAACAAAUGCCGCAAGUUUACUUCUUAUGCACGGGUAAUGCCUGCCGAAGCCAAAUGGCAGAAGGGUUCGCCAAGAAACUACUCGGUUCUGAUUGGCAAAUUGCCAGCGCCGGCAUUGAAGCACACGGCUUGAAUCCGCUCGCUGUGCAAGUCAUGGCGGAAAAAGGGAUUGAUAUCUCGCAACAACGAUCAAAAGUGAUUGAUCCGGAUUAUCUAAUGCACGCCGAUUUAGUGGUCACUCUCUGCGGAGAUGCACGCGAUCGUUGCCCGGUCACGCCGCCAAACGUUCAGCACCUGCACUGGCCGUUGCCUGAUC
rnacentral:rRNA from 1 species